rnacentral:rRNA from 1 species
AGGAUUAACGCUGGCGGCGUGCCUAACACAUGCAAGUCGAACGAGGUAGCAAUACCUAGUGGCAGACGGGUGAGUAGCGCGUGGUCAACCUACCGUUGAGUGGGGGAUAACUAGCCGAAAGGUUAGCUAAUACCGCAUACGCCUCCGAGGGGCAUCCCUUGGCGAUAAAAGGAGCAAUCCGCUCGAUGACGGGACCGCGUCCCAUUAGCUAGUUGGUGGGGUAACGGCCUACCAAGGCGUCGAUGGGUAGCUGGUUUGAGAGAGCGACCAGCCACACUGGGACUGAGAUACGGCCCAGACUCCUACGGGAGGCAGCAGUGAGGAAUUUUCCGCAAUGGGCGAAAGCCUGACGGAGCGACGCCGCGUGUGGGAAGAAGGCCUUCGGGUCGUAAACCACUGUCGAAGGGGAAGAUAAUGACGGUACCCUUGGAGGAAGCCCCGGCUAACUACGUGCCAGCAGCCGC